GCUCUUUCAUUUUCCUGCACAAAAAUUUCUAUUGACGGGUUACUUUUGUAAGAGACUGUUUUAUUUCAGAAAGGGAAACAAGGGGAGAAAUCUGCAGAUACUGACUGGAAAGUCACUAAAACUACACACAGCAUCACUAUGUUUCAGGACUAUACCUACAGGCAGCUAUAACUCGCACAGGGAAGAGAGAAGCUUGAAAGAAGAAAUUAGAAACAAGUUUACACGGGUGUCCUCUAUGGCAUUAGAUCAAUAUCUAAGUGCCUUAGGACAUGAAGGUUACUUUUUUUGCAUAAAUCACACACAAAGAUGUGACACCCUGAAAACCAAAGGUAUGUUUAUUUAUAUUUUUUCUUUUAAAAAGCAGCAUGUACAAAAACAAUACUCUACCAGAGAGC
rnacentral:lncRNA from 1 species